UGUGUUGCUACCUCUCCCUCCUUUCUCUCCUGGCCUGUGUGUGUUCUUGGCAGACAACUCUUAGUUUUCUCAGAAGGGGCUGGCACUAACCCGUGUCUAUCUUUCACACAUGGAAUGUCCACUUCCCUCUCGCUGUAAAGUAAUGACGGCUUCAGUCGGCGUGAGGAAACACUGCCAAACAGAGACAUUGCACCAUUUUCCUGCUUCCAGCUGAGGAGGACGAUGCAGUAAGAGGCGGGUCUCUGCCUGCUGCUGCUGCUGCUGCACAGAACCACAAACUGCACUUGUGAAGAUGAACCUCCUGGAACUCUGUGAGGGAUUCUGACCUGCUCCCUCUGACCUGAAACAAGGGGACCAAAAGCAAGACUUGAGGAGAAUGCUCAGCUUCAGGCAUGUCUACAUUUUCACAUAUAACCUGUUCCAGUUCUGCGGACACACGUGGAUACUGGCUAACACCAUAGCCAGGUUCCUCAAAUUUGGUCAAGAUGCCCUAGCAGACACGUUCUACUCGGUCGGCUUUGUGAUGAGUCUCUGCCAGCUGCUCUCCAUCCUCGAGCUUUUCCACAUCGCAGACGGGAUCGAGAAAGCCCGACUCCUUCCUCGCUUCAUCCAAGUAAUGGAGAAGAACCUCCUGCUCAUCUUGGUCAUCGUGCUGGAGGAGAUGCAGAGUAAACCAGUUGUGUGUGUCCAGUUCAUGAUGUGGAACAUCCUGGACCUCUUGCGAUACCCACACGAGCUUCUGCAAGUAAUGGACACGCCCUCCGUCGCCAUGCUGUGGACUCGCUACACACUCUGGAUCCCCUUGUACAUCCUGUCGGUCGCCACUGAAGGUGACCAGAUCCGUUUACUACCUUUAGUUUUGCCCCUUGAUCGCGGACACAUCAAUACGUUCGGCGUCACACAUACUCAACAACACGAGCCUCACUGGAAUGCAUCGCAGACUGGCGUUGUGCAAGGGAAGUGGCGUCAUCAUAUACCAGGCCCUGCCGUACAUUGAGCCAACGGCAGCAGACUCGACGCACAUUCACGUCCCCUUCAACCUGCUGGUCUCCCUGCCUGUUCUCGCUCUUGGAGCCUCUGUAACAGUGUGGCAGCUGCUGAAGGAGAGACAACACCGCCUGGAGAAAUGGAACAACAAGCUGAAAAGGAAAUGACUCAUUGAGUUAAAGAACCUAAGACUUGGGCAAUUUAAGGCUCCCAGAGACUUCCUCUGAAGUUCAGAUUUUUCUUUUUAAAGAGAGUGAGGACUUGAAAUCCUAAAACUUCUCCAUCUUUUUAAUUCAGUGAGGUUGACUUGUUAGAAUUUGUUUAAAGCUACAGUGUGUACUAUUUAGAAGAACGUAUUCACAGAAAUUGAAUAUAUUGUCCAUAAUUGUUCGUUCAUAUAUAUGCAUAAUCACCUGUAACAAAGAACCAAUGUUUUUUCCUCAACUUUGAAUAAUUAAAUAUAGUUACAUUAGAGAAACCCGA